AAGGGGCGUGCGGGCACGCGUCCUGCCUUUCCGCUUGUGGCACGGGGGCAGUGUAAGAUGAACCAUUUACACUCUUCUCUCUCCUGCGGCUUCAAAAUAGAAGGGGUCAAGAAAAAGAUAUGGAGGAAGACUACUUACUUCAACCCAUACGACCACCGGGAGGCAGAAGAAGACCCCCUAGCAACAGCCGGAUCAUGUGCAGAGUACACCACAAUGGGAAAACGGAAGGACACGAACUGCAUAAAGGGAUCGGGUACUGGUUCAAACCUUGCGGCAGUUGGUGGAACGCAGAGUCCCCUGUCGCCCAGCGCUGCAUUGCCUCUUUGUUCUUUGCUCAUUAUAAUUAAUAAAUUCAAUAAUUGACUCCUUAA